rnacentral:lncRNA from 1 species
UGUGAGGUUUUUGUUUAACUUCCCAAAAUCCAGGCAACUUCCAGGGGACUGCUCUCUGACUCCCAGGAGUGUUUCAGACAGCAAGGUGUCCAGCAGCUGUAUCCUUGAAACUGAAUAUCCUGGUGAAGUGGUGAAGUUCCAGACCUGAUGCUCUCAGUGUCUUCUCCGUUCUCUAUGCUGUCAAUGUCCUGUUACAUGAACAACGCAGCUUUUGUUUGUGGGAAAACAGAGGAGGUUGGUGUCUCUGGGGAAGACACCGAAGAAGAUGCAGGCAUGCUGAAGACUUCAGAAAAGUGAGGAAUGAGUCCUUCUGAAAGCUGAAG